AGUGAACGCUGGCGGUAGGCCUAACACAUGCAAGUCGAACGGCAGCACAGUAAGAGCUUGCUCUUACGGGUGGCGAGUGGCGGACGGGUGAGGAAUACAUCGGAAUCUACUUUUUCGUGGGGGAUAACGUAGGGAAACUUACGCUAAUACCGCAUACGACCUACGGGUGAAAGCAGUGGAUCUUCGGACCUUGCGCGAUUCAAUUAGCCGAUGCCGGAUUAGCUAGUUGGCGGGGUAAAGGCCCACCAAGGCGACGAUCCGUAGCUGGUCUGAGAGGAUGAUCAGCCACACUGGAACUGAGACACGGUCCAGACUCCUACGGGAGGCAGCAGUGGGGAAUAUUGGACAAUGGGCGAAAGCCUGAUCCAGCAAUACCGCGUGAGUGAAGAAGGCCUUCGGGUUGUAAAGCCCUUUUGUUGGGAAAGAAAAGCAGCAGGUUAAUACCCCGCUGUUCUGACGGUACCCAAAGAAUAAGCACCGGCUAACUUCGUG
rnacentral:rRNA from 1 species